rnacentral:rRNA from 1 species
ACACGUAAGGGGCAAGCGUUGUUCGGAAUCACUGGGCGUAAAGGGCGCGCAGGCGGUUUGGUAAGUCAGAUGUGAAAGCCCACGGCUCAACCGUGGAAGUGCAUUUGAAACUGUCAGACUUGAGUACUAGAGGGGAAAGUGGAAUUCCCGGUGUAGAGGUGAAAUUCGUAGAUAUCGGGAGGAAUACCGGUGGCGAAGGCGACUUUCUGGCUAGAUACUGACGCUGAGGCGCGAAAGCGUGGGGAGCAAACAGGAGUAGAAACCCGGGUAGUCC